rnacentral:rRNA from 1 species
UGGGGAAUAUUGGACAAUGGGCGCAAGCCUGAUCCAGCCAUGCCGCUUGAGUGANGAAAGGCCCCUAGGGGUUGNAAAGCUCUUUCAGCGAGGAGGAUAAUGACGUUACUCGCAGAAGAAGCCCCGGCUAACUUCGUGCCAGCAGCCGCGGUAAUACGAAGGGGGCUAGCGUUGUUCGGAAUCACUGGGCGUAAAGCGCACGUAGGCGGACUUUUAAGUCAGGGGUGAAAUCCCGGGGGCUAACCUCGGAACUGCCUUUGAUACUGGAAGUCUGGAGUCCGAGAGAGGUGAGUGGAACUCCGAGUGUAGAGGUGAAAUUCGUAGAUAUUCGGAAGAACACCAGUGGCGAAGGCGGCUCACUGGCUCGGUACUGACGCUGAGGUGCGAAAAGCGUGGGGAGCAAACAGGAUUAGAUACCCUGGUAGUCCACGCCGUAAACGAUGGAAGCUAGCCGUCA